AGUGAUGGUUCAGUGGUAGAAUUUUUGCCUUCCAUGCAGGAGAUCAGGGUUUGAUUCCCGGCCAACCUA
rnacentral:tRNA from 1 species